AUUGAACGCUGGCGGCGUGCCUAACACAUGCAAGUCGAGCGGUAACAGGUGUAGCAAUACAUGCUGACGAGCGGCGAACGGGUGAGUAAUGCUUCGGAAUCUACCUUAUGGUGGGGAAUAACUAGCCGAAAGGUUAGCUAAUACCGCAUACGUCCUACGGGAGAAAGACAGGGGAGUCGUAAGACCUUGCGCCAAAAGAUGAGCCGAAGUCGGAUUAGCUAGUUGGUAGGGUAACGGCCACCAAGGCGACGAUCCGUAGCUGGUCUGAGAGGACGACCAGCCACACUGGGACUGAGACACGGCCCAGACUCCUACGGGAGGGCAGCAGUGGGGAAGUAUUGGACAAUGGGGGAAACCCGUCGAUCCAGCGACGCCGCGUGUGUAAAGAAGGCC
rnacentral:rRNA from 1 species